UACGUAGGGAGCAAGCGUUGUUCGGAUUUACUGGGCGUAAAGGGCGCGUAGGCGGCGCGGUAAGUCACUUGUGAAAUCUCUGAGCUUAACUCAGAACGGCCAAGUGAUACUGCAGUGCUAGAGUGCAGAAAGGGCAAUCGGAAUUCUUGGUGUAGCGGUGAAAUGCGUAGAUAUCAAGAGGAACACCAGUGGCGAAGGCGGCUACCUGGACCGGUACUGACGCUGAUGCGCGAAAGCGUGGGUAGCAAACAGG
rnacentral:rRNA from 1 species